rnacentral:rRNA from 1 species
AUACGGAGGAUCCGAGCGUUAUCCGGAUUUAUUGGGUUUAAAGGGAGCGUAGGUGGAUUGUUAAGUCAGUUGUGAAAGUUUGCGGCUCAACCGUAAAAUUGCAGUUGAAACUGGCAGUCUUGAGUACAGUAGAGGUGGGCGGAAUUCGUGGUGGAGCGGUGAAAUGCUUAGAUAUCACGAAGAACUCCGAUUGCGAAGGCAGCUCGCUAGACUGUUACUGACACUGAUGCUCGAAAGUGUGGGUAUCAAACAGGAUUAGAUACCCUGGUAGUCCACACAGUAAACGAUGAAUACUCGCUGUUUGCGAUAUACAGUAAGCGGCCAAGCGAAAGCAUUAAGUAUUCCACCUGGGGAGUACGCCGGCAACGGUGAAACUCAAAGGAAUGGACGGGG